CUCCUGGGGCGGGAGUGUGGCUCCCUGGAGCUUUGGACGCCUGAGGUCAGCCAUGCGCCGGCUGAGGGGCGCUGGUGUCUCUGUGCCCUCAGCUGGGCGGAGGGCUGAGCGCGUCACUUCGCGUCCGUCCCCUCCCGGCUUCUGGAGGCGCCGGGGAAGGCGGCGGCGGCGGCGGCGGCGCGCUCAAGCGCAGCAGCAGGUCCGUCGGGGGGGGGGGCUGUGCAGCGCCGGGCUCCUCCCCUCGCGCUCCGCAGCCGGCAGGGGGUUGGCGCUGGUCUCGGGGCAGCUCCGGGGCGCCUUCCUCAUCAGCGGUGCUGCGGCCACCUGGGGCCUGUCUGCGCCGGUAGCAGCCUCCCUCCUCCCCCGGAUGCUGUAACAAUGGAGCUGAGCUGCACUGAAGUACCUCUUUAUGGGCAGGUGACUGUAUAUGCAAAGUUUGGCAAAGA
rnacentral:lncRNA from 1 species